rnacentral:rRNA from 1 species
AGUGAGCGCUGGCGGCAGGCCUAACACAUGCAAGUCGAACGGCAGCACAAGAGAGCUUGCUCUCUGGGCGGCGAGUGGCGGACGGGUGAGGAAUGCAUCGGAAUCUGCCCAUUUGUGGGGGAUAACCUCGGGAAACCGGGACUAAUACCGCAUACGACCUACGGGUGAAAGCAGGGGAUCUUCGGACCUUGCGCAGAUGGAUGAGCCGAUGCCGGAUUAGCUAGUUGGAGGGGUAAAGGCCCACCAAGGCGACGAUCCGUAGCUGGUCUGAGAGGAUGAUCAGCCACACUGGGACUGAGACACGGCCCAGACUCCUACGGGAGGCAGCAGUGGGGAAUAUUGGACAAUGGGCGCAAGCCUGAUCCAGCCAUGCCGCGUGUGUGAAGAAGGCCUUCGGGUUGUAAAGCACUUUUGUUGGGAAAGAAAAGCAGCCGGUUAAUACCCGGUUGUCAUGACGGUACCCAAAGAAUAAGCACCGGCUAACUUCGUG